rnacentral:rRNA from 1 species
UACGUAGGGUGCGAGCGUUGUCCGGAAUUAUUGGGCGUAAAGAGCUCGUAGGCGGUGUGUCACGUCGGCCGUGAAAACCUGCAGCUUAACUGUGGGCGUGCGGUCGAUACGGGCAUCACUGGAGUUCGGCAGGGGAGACUGGAAUUCCUGGUGUAGCGGUGAAAUGCGCAGAUAUCAGGAGGAACACCGGUGGCGAAGGCGGGUCUCUGGGCCGGUACUGACGCUGAGACGCGAAAGCGUGGGGAGCGAACAGG